UACAGAGGGUGCGAGCGUUAAUCGGAAUUGCUGGGCGUAAAGCGCGCGUAGGCGGCUUUGCAAGUCGGGUGUGAAAUCCCCAGGCUUAACCUGGGAACUGCAUUCGAGACUGCAUUGCUGAGAGUAUGGGAGAGGGAAGUGGAAUUUCCGGUGUAGCGGUGAAAUGCGUAGAUAUCGGAAGGAACAUCAGUGGCGAAAGCGACUUCCUGGACCAAUACUGACGCUCAUGUGCGAAAGCGU
rnacentral:rRNA from 1 species